CUCUACGUUAAAGAGGGUGCAUAUUA
rnacentral:sRNA from 1 species